UACGUAGGGUGCAGGCGUUAAUCGGAAUUACUGGGCGUAAAGCGUGCGCAGGCGGUCUUUUAAGUCAGAUGUGAAAUCCCUCGGCUUAACCGGGGAACUGCGUCUGAUACUGGAUGGCUUGAGUUUGGGAGAGGGAUGCGGAAUUCCAGGUGUAGCGGUGAAAUGCGUAGAUAUCUGGAGGAACACCGGUGGCGAAGGCGGCCUGCUGGGCUGUUGCUGACGCUGAGGCGCGACAGCGUGGGGAGCAAACAGG
rnacentral:rRNA from 1 species